CAUCAAUUAAGGAAUCGUUGUACGAACCUCAGAACAUCAAUCGGUGUACUUGGCGGAAGAAGUGGAGGAUUAACAAGAGAAGGUGGUGAACAGGCAGUGGUUGUUGGAAUUCCUCGUUUUUUAAUUGACCAUACCUGGGAAAACUUUUUGGCCUGGCGUAUUAACUGAUGAUCCGUAAUCAGAGCUUUGGAUUGGCGAAUACGAGUCGAUGCUAAACUAGGAGCAGGGCUGGGAUCUAGGCAAAGAGGACCCUGUGUUGCAGCCACAAGGUGCGACUCCAAGACUAAUCUCUCUUCGUGACUCCAAUCUCCGUCGCUUGUUAAAGUAGAGACGUCUGAGA
rnacentral:misc_RNA from 1 species